GAAUCGGAACCCAUUUCAAGAGCCUGCCCAAUGAGUGCUUCCAACUGUUCCACUCUUUGGCGCAAUUCCGUAUUUGUGCCACCAGCCAUGUUCUCAAACAGCAACACGUAAUCUGCUACUGAUCGUCUUACCACCGCUACGAACUUUGCUCUACUCUGAUAUUAGUUUAUCAGGGUAGCUCUGAUACCAGCUUGUCACAGGGUCAAAUUGGGCCAAUUUUUCGCGCCUAAUUGACACUGCGCGGCAGCAACCUGACACUCAAGUUACUCAGCCUUUUCCAACACUUGGCCAACUUUUUAACAAGUUCGGCCUUAAGCAAAAUUCGAUAGCAACAUAAAGAGAACACAAUCAAGUACGGGAAAAUCCCAACCUUUGUAUUAAUAUGAAAAUAUACAAAGGACCCCUCACUUUGCUAUGAACACAAGUCGUUCAUAGCCCACUUCGACCAGCCAAGAUCACAAGUCGAUCUUGUCACACUAAGACCUGCCCAAAUGCCCAGCCUUAGCCCACUUUUGAAACACUCAGAAACCCUCACGUUUCUUUCUUGUUUCCCACUUUACUAUGAACAUNNNNNNNNNNNNNNNNNNNNNNNNNUCUUAGCCGCAUUCCUGCCUCGUAUUUGUCAACACUUGUUUCACCCAUGCCAUUGUUUGUAUCUUGUCUCACAUAGCUUUGCCUUAGCUAUUGAAACCCUUUGCCAUCAUUCCGUGCCCCCGCAAUUUAGCUUAGCUUGUACUUGGUGCUCCCACAAUCCGAACUGCCCGUACCUUUGUCUUUGGCGCGCAUGCCGCUUCAUGCCACCCAAACGUGUCCGCACUGCCUCGACAAGCCUUUGCCAAACUUGUCUUGCCUGUCCCAAGACUUUGGCCAAUACUUGUUCCCCUUGAUAAUGUUUCUCGUCCAUUGUCCCGCAUGAUCGUUUCGCUCCCGCAUAGGCCCAUGGCAAGGCCAUCAUGCCUCAAUCCUUGCCACUGCCGCGCCAUAUCUGAUGACAAAGAAUCAGGUCCUAACAAACCACCCGCACCCUUUGAAAUCGAUGUCCUCGUCGAGCCGACUUAACGAAUCAACCCCAAGGGGUUGUUCACAUACAACUCCCCUGUAGGUGCAUUCACAUUUGCCACAAUGGCAUUUGCUUCCGCCACUUGUUCCUGUCUCUCCGUGGCCAGCAUAACAUUCACUCUAGCCUGCACCGGACAGUCCCUCUUCAAGUGCGGUCCCCCACAAGUGAAGCAGCCACUGAAUUUGCCGCUUCUGUCCUUGCCCUUGGAAGUCUCUGUCUGCCUUCCAUUCUUGGCAAGACCCACGUCUUCGACAGCUUGGCCUUUCCCACUUUUCUUCCAUUCCUUUCCCUUGUCCUUCCUUCUGUCGGACUUUGAAUGCGAAGACUCAGCAGGGUCAUGACCUAUAUUGAGGUCAGCCAACGCAUCUGCCGCUGCAAUAGCAAUAGAGAGGCUUUGAACAUUCUGCCUUCUCAACUCUAAUUGCGCCCAGCCCUUCAACCCACUCAUGAACUAAUGCAGCUUGUCUUCUUCUGCCAUGUUACUUACAUUGAGCAUCAAGGAUGAAAAUUCCUUGACAUACUCCCUUACCGUACCACUUUGUUUCAAGUGGCGCAGUCCGUCUCUCGCCACCCACGACGAGUUGGUUGGAAGGAAUUGGGAUUUUAAUUCCUUCUUCAACGUCUCCUAAGUUUCAAUCUUGGGCAGUCCAGCACUUUCCGCUUCUACUACUCGUGUACGCCACCAUACCUUUGCAUCAUCCGUCAAAUACAUCGGUGUGAUGGUCACUUUUUCAUCAUUCGGCACACGAGCAGCUAGGAAAUACUGCUCCGUAUCCCACAAGAAAUUUUCCAGUUCUUUGGCACUUCUUGCACCGCCAUAAGCCUUUGGCUCCGGGAUCCUCACUUUGGUGCGAUCAUUGUUUCUAGGGGCAUUAUUUUGUAACGCCCUUCGAAGUUGAACCACCUCCUCGCGCAGUUCUUCCUCAUCCUUGCGUACCAAGGCCAUUUCUGCCAGCGUAGUCUCAUACCUCGCUGCAUAAUCUGCCUCUAGGCGGGCCAUUCUCGCAAGAACAGAAGAAUCGGAACCCAUUUCAAGAGCCUGCCCAAUGAGUACUUCCAACUGUUCCACUCUUUGGCGCAGUUCCGUAUUUGUGCCACCAGCCAUGUUCUCAAACAGCAACACGUAAUCUGCUACUGAUCGUCUUACCACCGCUACGAACUUUGCUCUACUCUGAUAUUAGUUUAUCAGGGUAGCUCUGAUACCAGCUUGUCACAGGGUCAAAUUGGGCCAAUUUUUCGCGCCUAAUUGACACUGCGCGGCAGCAACCUGACACUCAAGUUACUCAGCCUUUUCCAACACUUGGCCAACUUUUCAACAAGUUCGGCCUUAAGCAAAAUUCGAUAGCAACAUAAAGAGAACACAAUCAAGUACGGGAAAAUCCCAACCUUUGUAUUACUAUGAAAAUAUACAAAGGACCCCUCACUUUGCUAUGAACACAAGUCGUUCAUAGCCCACUUCGACCAGCCAAGAUCACAAGUCGAUCUUGUCACACUAAGACCUGCCC
rnacentral:lncRNA from 1 species